UGGCGUCAAAAGGUGAACUUCAUGUAGACGGUGAUCAGAAUCUAUCCAUACAAAAUAUCUGUAUAUAAAUCGCAUAUGUUGUGAACGAGUGAGAAUCGGCUAUAUGUGGAGGCGGCUCAACGAUUCAUCACUAAAUGGUGGUCCUCAAAUCAUUGGCUCAUCUAUAUUCAAAAUUUCGACUUUCAAAAUAAAGGUGUACUCUACCCAAUUCUUAACAUGUU
rnacentral:lncRNA from 1 species